CUCUGGUGUCACCACUGGUGCUGAAGGAAAGAAAGCCUAUCCCUUCAUGUCCCAAGGUCCGAAAGCACAAUGAAAACCGGCAUCAUUAUCCUUCAGCCGUGAAUGGGAAAAGCAGGAUGUUGACUAUGGGUCGUCACCUAGGAGGACGGAUGAGACUGGAUUCAGUCGCAGAAAAGGACAGGAAACAGUCGCUGCCUUGUUUAUCACUGUGUGAUAGAUAGCAUCCCGGGGCCACCUCUCCACGCAGGGCCUCAUUAGGAAGUCAGCACCUGAAACAGGAACCUCCGCAUCACAUGGUCCAAGAUGAAACAGGGCCUGUUAGCUCGGUCUCCCAGGACUGUGGAUCCUUUUUGCAUUCCUUCUAUUGUUUUUCCAAUGUGGGGGCUUGGCACUGGGCACAGUGAGGGUCUCACACCUCUGCUGGUUCUCACCAACAGGAAGCAUCUCCCACAUUGACAUCUUCAAGCAGCCCCUCCCCAAGCCCCUCGAAGUCACUUAGUCUUCAUUCUCAUCUAGUCUUUUCUGCAAACUCUCCUGCUCCUCAGUCAACGCUCUUUUAUUCUUCUUUAGACUUUUUCUCUGCAUCCUCCUGCC
rnacentral:lncRNA from 1 species